UGUCCCCGAAUAACGAUGCGGAUAAGAAAAUGUCAUCGUUCGCUUCUCUCAAGCAAACAAGGACAGAGUCGAAGGAAGCAAAUCUUCGUACCACAGAGCUGAAAAGCGAAGGAGAGCAUUUCAACGUCCCGUUGCAUUACAUACAAUGGAAGCUCUGGGGCUUCCCUCCCUCGGCCCUCUCACAAUUUCGCAGUCCGCCACUUCCCGCAGAGUGCGAACCGCGAGCAGCUCGCGGACGAAGACGCACUCACGGGGCUUUAUGGAGCUCCCUCCUCUCGGAUUGAAUUCUUCUUUGGCAAUUCGCCAUAAAAAGCGGAGUGUUAUCAGAAUGAUAGCUGACACGGAUGACUAUGACUUGAGGCAAAUGAUGGAUAAGGCUGCUGCCCGAAAGAGAUGGGAUUCUCUGAUUAGGGAACAAAAAGUUAAAUGUCUAACCCCAAGGGAAGCUGGAUAUGCAAUACAACUCUUAGAUAAGACCCUAUUAGAUGUUCGCUCUUCUGUGGAAAGCAGCAAGGCAAGUGCUUGUUUGUUCAGUUUUUUCCUACCAAAUUCUGUGUUGAGCCCUGAAAUGAACUCCACCUUAGGAGAAUUUUAUGCAAGCUGGUAAAUGGGCAUUGUUCCUCAGUCAACUCUUGCUAAACGUCAAAUUUGCAUUACGUUUUUUUUGCCAAAUAAAAUGCUUUUACAAUGUCAUCUCGUGGAUUGUACCAUAUUAAAUUGCAUUUUACUAUUUCUGAUGAUUGUCUCCUGCUGUGGGAUUUGGCAUGUCGUUUGCCACCUGACUUGUGGCUGUAUUCUUUACUGUCAACGGAGGUUUUUUAUUUUUAUUUUUAUUUUGUAUGUUGAGGUUGUCUUAUUAAUUGUUCUUCCUUAUCAAAGAUUGAACCAUUCUUGUUAUUUUGUUUCUUUGCUGCUUAAGGCUUGGGUCAAAGGAUCAACUUGGAUUCCCAUAUUUGAUGACAAUAGUGGAUUUGAUCCUGGGACUCUUUCUAGGAAGAUGAUAAACUUUGUGAUGGGUACUUUCUUUUGCUUUACUUGCUUCUUCGAGAGGUGGUUGGUGGAGUGGUGCUCCUACAUUGUCCUAUAACAAGUUCGUUCUGAAAAUACAUGCUGUCGUUCUUUUUCCCUAGUUACAUGCAACAGUAUAUAGAUUAUUUACUCUUCAACAGGCAGUUCUUAUCGAAUAUUGAGGAAAAAUUCCCAAAAGACUUGGAUCUUAUUGUUGCAUGCCAGAAAGGUUUGAGAUCAUUAGCUGCUUGUGAGCUCCUAUACAAUGCUGGGUAUAGAAAUCUUUUCUGGGUUCAAGGUGGCCUAGAGGCUUCUGAAGAAGAGGAUCUCUCCAGAGAGGGCCCCCAGCCUCUUAAAUUUGCUGGAAUUGGUGGUGUUUCAGAAUUUCUGGGACCAAGUACAUGACAUAUUCUUAACUACAGAACAAUAGAUCACAGAUAGCAUGCUUCUGUAACAAGCAAAGGGUGAUUGAUUACUAAGUCGGAAAGAUUUCUAGCCAGCUAGUUUGCUUGUCUCUGCCAUCGUCUAGGAGAAGCGGGGUUUGGCUGCAACCAUAAGGUUGGCAAUUCUGUGCAUUGUGAUUGCAAAAACUUCAGUCAUAUCCAAAUCCUUAGGCUGGAUCCCAUCAGGAAGCUCCCAAUUGAAACUGUGAAGAAGUUGAGCUAAAGCAAGCUCAACACUGGCAUUUCCAAAUGCAAUCACCAGGCAGCUCCUUCUACCUGCACCGAAGGGUAUCAGCUCAAAAUCCUGCCCUUUGAAGUCAAUGUCACUAUUUUCAUUGAGAAAUCUUUCUGGUCAAAACGAUUCUGAAUCAACGCAGGAUUCUGGGUUCCACCCAAUUGACCAAGCAUUGACAAAGAAACGGGUUUUGCUGGGAUGGAGUACCCAUCAAUAGUUAUGUCCUCCAUAGAUUCUCUGGGGCCUAACACUGGAGCAGGAGUGUGCAACCGGAAUAUCUCCUUAAUGACAGCCUUCAAGUAUUGCAGUUGAGGUAGGUCAGUUUCUUGCACGAAUUUUCUCUCUCCAACGACGCUUUGUACUUCAGCUUGUGCUCUUUCCGUGGCUUUUUGAUUGAUGACAAGCUCUGUCAUUCCCCAAUCAAGGGUUAUGAACGUUGUAUCAGUUCCUGCUGCAAACAUAUCCUGCAAAAUCCAUAUGCUACGUAUGAGAGGUUUCUUCUUGCUAGGGGAUCUGCUUGGCUAUACAAGUAUAUUGAUGUUAUAAAAUACUGAACCAGAGGGAAGGAUGAUUCACAAACCAGGAUGAUGGCUUUAACAUUGUCCCUGGUGAGAGGCAUAUCACCAUAACCAGUCUUCAGUACAUCAAGUAAAACAUCCACAAGAUACUUGUGCGACUCCGUAGCUUUGUUUUCUUUUUGAUGAUCUCUCAGUAUCUCGUCGAAAAGGUUAUCAAAGCGCUAAAAUGUGUGCUGAAGUCUGGACUUCAUCCCGGUCAGGCUGUGGAUGAAUUCCAUGGAAGGAAAGAAAUCUCCUAUGCUGAAUCCUCCGAGCAACUCCUGAUACUCCUCCAGCAUCUUUUGAAACCCAUGCCUGUCGUAGUCCCUCCUCCUGAAAAAUCCCUCCCGAAAGCUACCCAACAGAGAACAUCAUUUGCAUAGAAACCAAGCAGUUUAGUUAGAUUUGUGGCGCCUGGAAAAGACUGUAAUACGGUCAACUAACCGAGCAACUUCUUCUACCCUGACAUGACUGUAUGACUGAACCCGUUUUGCACUAAGCAGUUCAAGUAUGCAAUUUCUUCUUAUAUGCCUCCAAUAAGGACCAUAGGGGAGAAGACCACGUCAGUGCAAUCAUAGAACAAGUGUUUGGCGGAGAAGAUCUGAGGACGGCUCGAAAGUGCGAGGUCGUGGGUUGUCAUUACCUCCUUCCCCAUUCUAGCUGAGGAAACAACUACGGUUGGGAUUUCACCAAGCUGUAAGAAGAUGAUUGGGCCGUAUGUUCUCGCAAGGUGGUGGAGGGAUAUGUAUGGCAAUUGCCUAGCUGAUGGAUUUCUGAGGAUCGGUAACUUGGGAGGGCUUGGUGGGAGGUUGUAGUUGCUUUUCCUAGGCGUGUUCUUUAAGAGAACUACAAUUACAGCUGCUACUACCAGGAUUGAGAGAAACAGAUGCUGAAGGAGAGCCAUUUUCAUUUCACGAGAAACUUGCACAGUAUGUGAUGUUGCACUGUGGUCUUAUUUGAUCUGUAUACAGUCUCUUCCUAUACAAGGGACUUGUAAAAACUAUCUCAGUUUGCUGAAAAAUCUUUCGGUUUAGUCAAUAUAAGUCGAGUUAGCAGA